rnacentral:sRNA from 1 species
GGCAUAGUACUAUUCAUUUUAAUUUUUUGGCCCAAAUCAUCUAAAACUCCCAUAUGGUGCCUUUAGAAGUUAGUAUCUCUGAUGGAAGGGGAAUUCCUUUCAAUAGUUCACUUGCUAUGAUAAGUGUGCAUAAGCUUUACUUUAAAAAUUGACUUCAAUGUUUUUCUAAAAACAUCUUUUGACUAGAUGUAGUAUUACCUAAUAAAAGUAAUACCAUUUUCUUUUUAAAGGAGAAAUAGCAUUAAUUUUGAAAGACUAGAAGCUCAACUGAAGGCAUGUCAUUGCAGGAUCAUAUUUUCUAAAGCAAAGGUAAAUAUUUUAUAAAGAUUAUGCCUAUUGAUAUGAUCUGUUUUUAUAUUUGGCAUUUACUUUAAAUUUAUCUCUUUUAGCCUUCUGUGUUGGCAUUGUCUAUCAUUGCAUUAGAGAUCCAAGCACAGAAGUGUGUAGAGUUAACAGAAGGAAUAGAAUGUCUUCAGAAACAUUCCAAGAUAAAUGGCAGAGAUCUGACCUUCUGGCAAGAGCUUGUAUCCAAGUGUUUAACAGAAUAUUCAUCAAAUAAGUGUUCCAAACCAAAUGUUCAGAAGUUGAAAUGGAUUGUUUCUGGGCGUACUGCACGGCAAUUGAAGCAUAGCUACUACAGAAUAACUCACCUU